UACGAAGGGGGCGAGCGUUGUUCGGAAUCACUGGGCGUAAAGGGCGCGUAGGCGGCCCUCCUUGUCGCGUGUGAAAGCCCCGGGCUCAACCUGGGAACGGCGCGCGAGACGGGGGGGGCUGGAGUUCGGGAGAGGGAUGGCGGAAUUCCAGGUGUAGCGGUGAAAUGCGUAGAUAUCUGGAGGAACACCGGUGGCGAAGGCGGCGAUCCUG
rnacentral:rRNA from 1 species